UUGAUAAGUUCUAGCGGCGGACGGGUGAGUAACGCGUGAGCAACCUGCCCUUCACAGGGGGAUAACACAGCGAAAGCUGUACUAAUACCGCAUGAGACCACAGAGCUGACAUGGCAAAGGGGUCAAAGGAGAGAUCCGGUGAAGGAUGGGCUCGCGUCUGAUUAGCUGGUUGGUGAGGUAACGGCCCACCAAGGCGACGAUCAGUAGCCGACCUGAGAGGGUGAUCGGCCACACUGGAACUGAGACACGGUCCAGACUCC
rnacentral:rRNA from 1 species